CGAGCUGAAGCCCUUCGGGGUGGACGCUCGUGGAACGAGCGGCGGACGGGUGAGUAACACGUGGGCAACCUACCUGUGAGACGGGGAUAACUCCGGGAAACCGGGGCUAAUACCGGAUAACGCAUCGAACCGCAUGGUUCGAUGAUCAAAGAUGGCUUCUCGCUAUCACUCACAGAUGGGCCCGCGGCGCAUUAGUUAGUUGGUGAGGUAACGGCUCACCAAGGCGACGAUGCGUAGCCGACCUGAGAGGGUGAUCGGCCACACUGGGACUGAGACACGGCCCAGACUCCUACGGGAGGCAGCAGUAGGGAAUCAUCCGCAAUGGACGCAAGUCUGACGGUGCAACGCCGCGUGAGCGAUGAAGGUCUUCGGAUCGUAAAGCUCUGUUGUGAGGGAAGAACAAGUGCCGUUCGAAUAGGGCGGCACCUUGACGGUACCUCACCAGAAAGCCCCGGCUAACUACGUGCCAGCAGCCGCGGUAAUACGUAGGGGGCAAGCGUUGUCCGGAAUUAUUGGGCGUAAAGCGCGCGCAG
rnacentral:rRNA from 1 species